UAGGGAAUCUUCAGCAAUGGGGGCAACCCUGACCGAGCAACGCCGCGUGAGUGAAGAAGGUUUUCGGAUCGUAAAGCUCUGUUGUAAGAGAAGAACGUGUGUGAGAGUGGAAAGUUCACACAGUGACGGUAACUUACCAGAAAGGGACGGCUAACUACGUGCCAGCAGCCGCGGUAAUACGUAGGUCCCGAGCGUUGUCCGGAUUUAUUGGGCGUAAAGCGAGCGCAGGCGGUUUAAUAAGUCUGAAGUUAAAGGCAGUGGCUUAACCAUUGUUCGCUUUGGAAACUGUUAAACUUGAGUGCAGAAGGGGAGAGUGGAAUUCCAUGUGUAGCGGUGAAAUGCGUAGAUAUAUGGAGGAACACCGGUGGCGAAAGCGGCUCUCUGGUCUGUAACUGACGCUGAGGCUCGAAAGCGUGGGGAGCAAACAGG
rnacentral:rRNA from 1 species